UCCUACGGGGCGCAGCAGUGAGGAAUAUUGGUCAAUGGACGCAAGUCUGAACCAGCCAUGCCGCGUGCAGGAAGACGGCUCUAUGAGUUGUAAACUGCUUUUGUACGAGGGUAAAUCCCGAUACGUGUAUCGGGUUGAAAGUAUCGUACGAAUAAGGAUCGGCUAACUCCGUGCCAGCAGCCGCGGUAAUACGGAGGAUUCAAGCGUUAUCCGGAUUUAUUGGGUUUAAAGGGUGCGUAGGCGGUAUUUUAAGUUAGUGGUAAAACGUCGGGGCUUCACCUUGAUUGGCCAUUAAAACUGGAGUA
rnacentral:rRNA from 1 species